UCACAAUAAAUGUAUAGUACAAAUAGUGGGAUACCCGAUACUGAUUUUUUAUUACGAACGAUGAAAGGAAUCAUGUCUUUUAACAGGCGACAGGUUAACGUGACCACCGUGCAACGAUAAGAAACUAUGUCGACUGAUGAUUCAGCCAGUUGGGGGGUAAUAAUGAUGAUGAUGACGCACCUUGAAGUAGUCGGGCAUCAACAUGGGCAGCACGACGGCCUCCUCCAGCAACCGCUUGGCAUCGUGCAGAUCGGCAAUGUCACUCCAACGCACCUUUGGAUUCUUUUGCAGUAUAUCACGUUCUAAGCAUGAGAUUAAAUACUAGAUUAUUCGAGAUACCAGUGA